UACGGGGGGGGCAAGCGUUGUUCGGAAUUACUGGGCGUAAAGGGCUCGUAGGCGGCCAACUAAGUCAGACGUGAAAUCCCUCGGCUUAACCGGGGAACUGCGUCUGAUACUGGAUGGCUGGAGUUUGGGAGAGGGAUGCGGAAUUCCAGGUGUAGCGGUGAAAUGCGUAGAUAUCUGGAGGAGCACCGGUGGCGAAGGCGGCAUCCUGGACCAAUACUGACGCUGAGGAGCGAAAGCCAGGGGAGCAAACGGG
rnacentral:rRNA from 1 species